GUGCGCCCCACCCAGCACCCAUCAAUUCAAUGGUGUCGCAGUGGCGGCUACCCCAUGCCACGGCCACCCAGCUCUGGGGCUUCCUACUCCUGCUUACAGCAGCUCAGGGAGCAGUCUUAUGUGCAUCUAGAAAUGGCACAUCCAAGGGCUACUGCAUGCUUUAUAACCCUCAUUGGAUAACUUUUCUAAGUACCCUAGAAAAUGCAGCUUCCAUUAGUUUGAUGAGUCUGACUUCCACACCACUAUGCAGCCCUUCUGAUAUUCCUCCUGUUGGCAUAAAGAACAAAGUAGCUGUGGUGCAAUGGGGAAGCUGUCAUUUUCCCAAAAAAGCCAGAAUUGCUUAGAAAGGCGGUGCUGAAGCAGUGUUAGUUGUCAACAACAGUGUCCUAUUUCCUCCCUCGGUAACAGAUCUGAAUUUCCUCAUGUGAAAGUACUGAUUGCUUUUAUAAGCCAGAAAGUCUUUAAAGAUAUGAAGCAGACUCUAGGAAAUCACAUUAAUGUGAAAAUGUAUUCUCCAUUGUGGCCUUUGAUCAUACUAUGGUGGUCAUUUUUGUAAUUGCUGUGUUCACUGUGGCAUUAGUUAGAUACUGGAGUGGACUAGUUGAAUUGGAAAACUUGAAAGCAGUGACAAUUGAAGAUAGAGAAAUGAGGAAAAAGAAGGAAGAAUAUCUAACUUUUAGUCCUUUCUUACAGUUGUAAUCUUUGUGGUCACCUGCUGUGUUAUGAUGGUCUUUAAUUCUUCUGCAAAUGAUUGGUUUAUGUUAUGAUAGCAAUUUUCUGCAUAGCAUCAGCAAUGAGUCUGUGCAACUGUCUUGUCUGCACUAAUUCAUAAGAUACCAAUAGGCAAUGCACAAUUGUGUGUUGUGGCAAAAGCAUGGAAGUGAGACUUAUUUUUCUCUCUAGACUAUGCCUAAUGAUAGCUAUUGUUUGGGCUGUGUUUCGAAAUGAAGACAGGUGGACUUGGAUUUUACAGGAUAUCGAUAUCUUGGAGAUUGCUUUCUGUCUGAAUUUGAUUAAAACACUGAAAUUGCCCAACUUCAAGUCAUGCAUGAUACUUCUAGGCCUUCUCCUCUUCUAUAAUGUAUUUUUUGUGGUCGUAACACCAUUCGUCACAAAAAAUGGUGAGAGUAUCGUGGUUGAACUUGCAGCUGGACCUUUUGGAAAUAACGGAAAGUUGCCAGUAGUCAACAGAGUACCAAAGCUGAUCUAUUUCUCAGUAAUGAGUGUGUGCCUCAUGCCUUUUUCAAUGUUGGUUUUUAGAGACAUUACUGUACCAGGCCUGUUGAUUGGGUACUGUAGAAGAGUUGAUGUUCAGACUGGUUCUUCCUAUAUAUAGUAUGUUAUUAUGCUAGUUGCCUAUGCUAUUGGCAUGAUACUUACAUUUGUUGUUCCGGUGCUGAUGAAAAAGGGGCAACCUGCUCUCCUGUAUUGAGUACUUUACAAACUUAUUACUGCCUCAAUUGUUGCACGGAGAAUUUUAAUUAUUUAUGAUGUAACUGUAAGUAGCAGCCUGGGUGGCAUAGCAAGACCCCAUCUCAAAUAUAAAUAUAUAUGUAAUAUAAUAUAAAAUAAAUAACUUUAUACAUUUCCUGGAAGAAAGGUACUUUGUAAAUUCAAAAGAUCUGAAUCAAAUUAUUCAACCUUUUGGACUUUGAUCUUCUACUGUAAUACUCAUAUGUGAGAUUACCGAAUUUUCAGUUAAAAAAAAUUAUUAACAGGAUAAUAUAUAGGCCAUAUUAUAGUGAAGAUCAUAGCCUCUGUAUUAAAAAAAGUGUUCAUUGGGAGAAAAACUAUUUUUAAAACUAAAUUUUUAUAGUAAUCCUCCAUUACUUCAAUUAAGGAGCAACCAAAAAAAAAGUGGAUUAUUUAAUGUAUACAUUGUGGAAUGACUGAAUCAAGCUAAUUAACAUAUUCAUCACCUUAAAUACUUAUAAUUUAUCCCUCCUAACUGAAACUUUGUACUCUUUAACCAAAACCUCACCAUUCCGCAACCCCAUAGGUAAAUUUCGCUUAAUAAGGAGUGAUUUGCCAAAAUCACAAAAGGGAGGAUGACAUUAUUUUCAGUGUGUAAGGAUUCACAUGUAAACACUGAGUAGAUUGGAGGUGUGUAUGAAGAGGACUGGAGGGAGUCAAUGAAAUUUCAUAUCACAGAAGUGCUUAUGUCUUCUGACAUGAUUUUAAAUGUAUAUUUAUAAGGAUAAUAAACUAC